GUCUACAGCCACACCACCCUGAACGCACCCGAUCUCAUCUGAUCUAGGAAGCUAAGCAGGGUCGGGCCUGGUUAGGACUUGGAUGGGAGAGAAGGGGCCCUGGCUGCCACC
rnacentral:rRNA from 1 species